CUUCACAACCCUUUGUCAGGGCCAGUUAUUUAUAGCUACACUGAUGCAAACUGGCUAAGUUCUUAUGGUCCCAGAGAACACACAGACUACUAAGGUGGCCCGCUUCUCCCGUACUCUCUUUGGAUCCAACAGAUGUUCUAAAGGGGUCUCCUGACAAACCUCCUGCCGCCAUUGGCACCAUUCAAACUGCCACUGAACAAGAAGACUUGGCUCACCACUUUUCCACUCAACUCGUGAGCAGCACAGCAUUCGUGUGCCUCGGUGGUCGAAGAUCGUCAGUGCAUUCGUAUACCUGCUCAUCAAAGAUCAUCAGAACAACCUCUCUCAGGAAGAAAAAAGGACCCCAUCCAUAACUCGGCCUCUGGGACCCCU
rnacentral:lncRNA from 1 species